rnacentral:rRNA from 1 species
GUUAGGAAUAUUCGUCAAUGGGGGAAACCCUGAACGAGCAAUGCCGCGUGAAGGAUGACGGUCCUAUGGAUUGUAAACUUCUGUUGUUAGGGAAGAACGACUAGUAUAGGAAAUGAUACUAGAGUGACGGUACCUUUCAAGAAAGCUCCGGCUAACUACGUGCCAGCAGCCGCGGUAAUACGUAGGGAGCGAGCGUUAUCCGGAUUUAUUGGGUGUAAAGGGUGCGUAGGCGGUUUAACAGGUCUGUGGUCUAAGUCCGAAGCUUAACUUCGGUUCGCCACAGAAACCGUUUUACUUGAGUAUGGUAGAGGCAAGUGGAAUUUCUAGUGUAGCGGUUAAAUGCGUAGAUAUUAGAAGGAACACCAGUGGCGAAGGCGACUUGCUGGGCCAUCACUGACGCUGAGGCACGAAAGCGUGGGGAGCAAAUAGGAUUAGAAACCCUAGUAGUCC